UACAGAGGGUGCGAGCGUUAACCGGAAUUACUGGGCGUAAAGCGUGCGCAGGCGGCGCGUUAAGACAGGUGUGAAAGCCCCGAGCUUAACUUGGGAAUUGCGCUUGUGACUGGCGUGCUGGAGUGUGGCAGAGGGAGGUGGAAUUCCACGUGUAGCAGUGAAAUGCGUAGAGAUGUGGAGGAACACCGAUGGCGAAGGCAGCCUCCUGGGCCAGCACUGACGCUCAUGCACGAAAGCGUGGGGAGCAAACAGG
rnacentral:rRNA from 1 species